UCCUACGGGAGGCAGCAGUGGGGAAUUUUGGACAAUGGGGGCAACCCUGAUCCAGCAAUGCCGCGUGUGUGAAGAAGGCCUUCGGGUUGUAAAGCCCUUUUGUUGGGAAAGAAAUCCAGCCGGCUAAUACCUGGUUGGGAUGACGGUACCCAAAGAAUAAGCACCGGCUAACUCCGUGCCAGCAGCCGCGUA
rnacentral:rRNA from 1 species